rnacentral:rRNA from 1 species
CCUACGGACGGCAGCAGUGGGGAAUAUUGGACAAUGGGCGAAAGCCUGAUCCAGCCAUGCCGCGUGUGUGAAGAAGGCCUUCGGGUUGUAAAGCACUUUCAGUGGGGAAGAAAGCCUUGGGGCUAAUACCCUCGAGGAAGGACAUCACCCACAGAAGAAGCACCGGCUAACUCCGUGCCAGCAGCCGCGGUAAUACGGAGGGUGCGAGCGUUAAUCGGAAUUACUGGGCGUAAAGCGCGCGUAGGCGGUCUGAUAAGCCGGUUGUGAAAGCCCCGGGCUCAACCUGGGAACGGCAUCCGGAACUGUCAGGCUAGAGUGCAGGAGAGGAAGGUAGAAUUCCCGGGGUAGCGGUGAAAUGCGUAGAGAUCGGGAGGAAUACCAGUGGCGAAGGCGGCCUUCUGGACUGACACUGACGCUGAGGUGCGAAAGCGUGGGUAGCAAACAGGAUUAGAUACCCUAGUAGUC